AAAAACAAACAGAAUGAGGUCCAGGUCCAGGUGGAGGUCCAGGUGGAGGUCCAGGUGGAGGUCCAGGUGGAGGAGGUGUCUGAGUGUGCAGCAGAAGGAGUGGAGGAGUCUCAGUGUGUCUGCAGAGACUGUGUAGAAGGACAGAGCAGCAGCAGAGCAGUCCAGAUCCACUGAUGAUACUCUGUCACAUCCAGAGGAACACACAGGGAUGAUGGUGGUUCACAGCUCAACAUUAUUACAAAUAAAUUUUAAUAAAUAAAAGGAAAAGCAGCAAAUAUUCACACGUGUAAAGCUGGAACCAUGAAAUGUUUUCACAUGAAAAAAUGUAGCUACCAGUUAAUGUCUCUGUCAAUGUAAUAAUCCUGUACUUGUAUUGACUGUUGGGUAGUUUCAUUUAUAAAAAAACAACACAUUUAUAUUGUUUUGUGUUUAGAAAUCUGACUUUGUAAAAUAACUACACUAAAAAGUACAAUAUCUCCCUGUGAGAUGGAGGAGAAGUAGAAAGUGGGUUGAAAAGAGAAAUACUCAAGUUCAUUUUGGCCUCAGGUGAAGAUGCCAGCGAUGGUCAUUCAGACUACUGCACAGGCUACUGCAUCCCAGUCAGCUGCAAGAAAGAAUCAAGGUUAGCUGGUUUAAAUCUGCAGUUAGAGGAAACGUUAGUGUUUAAACAUCUUCAAAAAAGCUUCUUCAAAGUCUCAAUUUAAAAAAAAACAAAAAACAUCUACCUUUGAAAGGACAGAAUAAUCUGGGUACAAUCCAGAAAAUGACUAAACAUUUUAAUAUAAAUGCAGAGACUCGUGGAUCAGAUGUCCUUAUCUAGAUACAGAUCACAUGUUGAUCCAGGGGAAAACGGGGCCUCAUUCAUGUUUAAAAGGGAAAAGUCUGCAGAGGGCCCCUUUAGGAUCCAUAACAUGUACGAAAGCCAUCCUGCUUGGUCUCUUUUAAAAUAAAGUAAAUCUCACAAGAGAAGGCUGAAAAACAAAUCAGGGACAAGAGAAAUUAAAAGCUUCCCUGUACACAAAAGAUCCUGUGGUCAUGUAGAUUUGAAGUAAUGUAUUAGGUAAAAUAUAUUCAAUAUGAUUGUGCUUUUGAUUUUGAGGCAAAUAUUUAAUUAAAUUGCAAAUGAAAAUGUUUGGAAUAAAAUCCACCCAUUGUAGUUAAAUAAAACAUAAGCAUUAUAUUUAUCUAAUCCCAAAUAUUGAAAAUGUUGUGAGAGUGAAUUCAAAUUAAUGUAAUCAGGGAAGUUUUAAUUGAAAAGCACUUCUUGUCAAGAAUUCCCAUGAUGCAUGGCGGUGAAGGGAGUUUUGGUAAAAUUAGCUAAUAAGUGUCCAAUUUGUUUGAAAUACAACAUUUAUUUUGUAAAUUAACCUAACCCUGAUCGGACUCGGAUAUAAAUGUAUAUAUAUUCUCAUUAUUUAACACAUCUAUAGUUACGCGGUGGCACAGAGUAACACAGCAGCGCGAGCGGCAUGACAUCACUUUGUUGCAGAGACGCUAUUGGUUAAAUGCCGGCAAAGUAGAACACGUAAGCAGCUUGAAGCGGAAAGCGCGAGUACGUCUGCGAUCUGGAGGUGUUACAAAGUUGAUGACAACAACAUUGCCAUAGCAAACUGUGAGAUAUGUAAACUAGGGAUUUAACACAACUAGAAGGCAGCUACAUUCAGCCUACUCUGGACUAGAAGACAUACAGAUGGACCUAAAUAUGGAUAUCAAGCGCCUACAGCAAGAUGUACAGACAGGAUGGAACAGCAGCCUCUACAUGCUGCAGAGCCUACUGCAACAAAAACACCAGCAGCAACACUGACAGCUCACCAGUGGGAGCUGAUGAAUAAGACUGCUGAUGUGAUCCCUGCCAUAACAGCUCAUUUGUAUUUUUAUUUAUUGCUUUAUACUGUAACAUUUAUUGAUGUUGUUUAAAACAAACUAUAAUCCCAUGCAUUCAUUAAGUCAUUCAUUCACUCAUUAGUCCUCAGACGUGUUCUGUCUCGGGAGGAUGAUGAAGACCAGGGAAUAAAAACAUUGAAGAGGACUCUGCUGGAGGCAGUGGAGAAGCUGAUGUUGAAACUGAGCCACUCUUCUAGACCCCAGAUACAA